UAUUUAUUUAUAAAUACUUACGAGUAUUCAAAGUUUGCUGGGUAUGAAUAAUUCUGCUACAAAGUUACUCACAAAUUUCGAAAUAGAAGUUCAAUGUGCUCAAUUGUUGAAUACAUAUACACAUGUUUCAAUUUUUACAGCCUUUGAAGAAGUUUCCAUUCUGCUUUCAGACUGAGGCUAAUUUGGUAAUCCCAAGGAUGCAAUGAAACAAGAAAACAGGGGAGGGGAAGAUUCACUUCAAAUGGUUACAAAGUAAGCUGUUUGAUCUCUGCUUUAAUUUUCCAUGUGGAGAAAUGAAGUUUAAUGCUUUGUUUUCCAUCUUCUGGUUUGUUUUCUUGCCUUUUCCGGUGAUGUAGUGGAGCAAGUUUAGCAGACCUUGAUUUUCUUUUAGAAUCAAACUGAAAGGCGAAGUAUAAUACAAAAGUAAUUUGAUUCUCCUUCACCUAGGCUUCAGAUUUCAUCUUCAAAAG